GUCCUGACGAGUCCCAAAUAGGACGAAACGCGCGUCCUGGAU
rfam:Schistosoma mansoni strain Puerto Rico chromosome 4, complete genome